rnacentral:piRNA from 1 species
UAUAGAAAAGAAUGAAAGAUUUGCCCACAG